rnacentral:rRNA from 1 species
CCCUUAGAUGUUCUGGGCCGCACGCGCGCUACACUGAUGCAUUCAACGAGCCUAUCCUUGACCGACAGGUCCGGGUAAUCUUUGAAUCUGCAUCGUGACGGGGAUAGAUUAUUGCAAUUAUUAAUCUUCAACGAGGAAUGCUUAGUAGGCGCAAGUCAUCAGCUUGCGUCGAUUACGUCCCUGCCCUUUGUACACACCGCCCGUCGCUCCUACCGAUUGGGUGUGUUGGUGAAAUGUUCGGAUCGGCCGUUUGUCGCGGUUUCCGCGUCAUGUGGCUGAGAAGUUCAUUAAACCCUCCCACCUAGAGGAAGGAGAAGUCGUAACA